CUAACCAGGAUUCUCCCAGUAACGGCGAGUGAACGGAGAUUAGCCCAUCACCGAAGUCUAUCCGCGCUUGCGGACAGGACAAUGUGGUGUUUGGGCAUGCACCUGGGAGCGCUUGCCUACUCGAAGUCCAUCUCCGAUUUUGGCUUGGACUUGGCCCAUAGCGGGUGAAAGGCCCGUCCGGGUAGGCGUUGUUGCAAUAAGCGAUCCUCAGAUGUGUAUGCCUACGAGUCGGAUUGCUUGAGAAUGCAGUCCAAAGAGGGUGGUAAACUCCAUCCAAGGCUAAAUACUGGCACGAGUCCGAUAGUAGACAAGUACCGUGAGGGAAAGUUGAAAAGUACUCUGAAGAGAGAGUAAAUAGCACGUGAAGCCGCUUGCAGGGAAGCUGGUGGAGUCAAGCUUCAUGCCUGGGGAAUUGCCGUGAGAGCAUUGUGUGGCAGGACGUGAUAUUGGCUUGCCUGGAAACGGUUUGGCGCAUGCAAGUGCGCUUCAAGUCAUUCCGGGGAGAGUGUUUGUGCCGGUAUCUAUCUCCUACCUCUCUCGGUUUAUUCGCCACGGCAUACAUCACGGUCGAUAGAGUCAGUGUACUGUGUGAGUGCUUAACUGUGCCUUUGCAGAUUUAACCGUUUGCUGGGCAUAGAAUGGCAGAAGGCGUGUGCGGGCAUUCGUGUCUUCACUACGCGUAUUGUGGUCUUGACCUGCUAGUGCUCACGUACAGUAUCAGCCCUAUCGUUCUUAUGUGGAGGCUGCUCUUCGGAGCGGUUUCCGGUGAGAACCGUGAUGCUGAGGUAGAC
rnacentral:rRNA from 1 species